AUAAAAUCAAAAAUAAAAAAGUAUAUUAAAUGAAAAAACCAAUAAAAAAAAUAAAAUAAAAUGUGAGCGACAAAUAAGAAAACAAAAAACAAAAUUUAAUUUGACUCACAUUCAACCCUGACAAUCAGCUGACUAUAUUACUUUUGCUGUUAUAAGGAAUAUCAUGGGAUAAAGGAGGAAUUUUCCGCAAGAACACAUUUAAACAACUUAUUAAUCAGAAAUGGAAUAUUCACUACUAACUCGGCUGCAAUAGCCUAAUGGUUAGCAUUGCGUGCUAACAUUCGAGAGGAAUUGUCAAGCGUAUUUUUGAUAAGGAAAUCAAAACUUCUCCGAAAUCCAGCGACUAAUCGGAGGCGGCUUGGAAUAAACUGUAGAUCAUCUUGUUGGAAAACCUAAAGACUAACAUCACAAAUUGAAAAAGGACAAAUAUCGUUUGAACGGUUGCAAAUCUCUAAUUAUUACGAUUUUGUGUUCAAGUUCAGCUUGUAUUGUUGUUGUUUCAUUGCUGAACUGAGGUUUUUGACUAUUAAAAAGCAUAUUAAAUUAUUCAAUCAAGCUAAAUGUAUUACUUUCAUUAUGGAAAGAAUCCUUUCUCAACGAUUUAGUCUUCUUUCUGGUAGUAUAUGGAUUCUUCUGACUCGCUUUUCUGCAUCCAGCAAUAUUUUCUCAUCUUUAAUCCAGUUUAUAGCAGCUGAUAAGCGAAUCUACAGCUAUUCAGUUUAGGAGGCAGGUUUCUGGUGGAUUGGCUAGAGCUGGCUUGGUUUUCAUUGAAAAAAAGUUCGUGAUCCAAGUCUUACUGUGGCCUUAGCGAAUACAAUUCACAACUCUUCAUCGCGAGCCCGGCGGGUUGGGAGCUCAAAAAUUUACCCGUGGUAAGGCAAACAUGUCGCAAGAGGUGAUUGAAAUCCAAUAGUUCCCGCGACUGUCGAUUUUUAUACCGGAACCUACGAUUUAUAUCAGGACAAAGGAGUGUCAUUCUCGCAAUAUUCCAAUUGGGGAAUAUUUUUUCGGUUUCCACAAACACAAAAGCAACUCUCUACAAAUAAUUUGACUAAUUCUCUUUACCCAUAUACUUCGAGGAUUUUAAUCUCCCAGAAAUCAUCCAAAUUUUGCAGUAAAUUUACUGCAAAAAUAAUUUCCAC